rnacentral:rRNA from 1 species
CCAUAAGCGGAGGAAAAGAAACCAACCGGGAUUGCCUUAGUAACGGCGAGUGAAGCGGCAAAAGCUCAAAUUUGAAAUCUGGUACCUUUGGUGCCCGAGUUGUAAUUUGGAGAGGGCAACUUUGGGACCGUUCCUUGUCUAUGUUCCUUGGAACAGGACGUCAUAGAGGGUGAGAAUCCCGUGUGGCGAGGAGUGCGGUUCUAUGUAAAGUGCCUUCGAAGAGUCGAGUUGUUUGGGAAUGCAGCUCUAAGUGGGUGGUAAAUUCCAUCUAAAGCUAAAUAUUGGCGAGAGACCGAUAGCGAACAAGUACAGUGAUGGAAAGAUGAAAAGAACUUUGAAAAGAGAGUGAAAAAGUACGUGAAAUUGUUGAAAGGGAAGGGCAUUUGAUCAGACAUGGUGUUUUGCGCCCUCUGCUCCUUGUGGGUGGGGGAAUCUCGCAGUUCACUGGGCCAGCAUCAGUUUUGGUGGCAGGAUAAAUCCGUAGGAAUGUAACUUGCUUCGGGAAGUAUUAUAGCCUAUGGGAAUACUGCCAGCUGGGACUGAGGACUGCGACGUAAGUCAAGGAUGCUGGCAUAAUGGUUAUAUGCCGCCCGUCUAAAAC